rnacentral:rRNA from 1 species
UGCUUCUCUGAUGUUAGCGGCGGACGGGUGAGUAACACGUGGAUAACCUACCUAUAAGACUGGGAUAACUUCGGGAAACCGGAGCUAAUACCGGAUAAUAUUUUGAACCGCAUGGUUCAAAAGUGAAAGACGGUCUUGCUGUCACUUAUAGAUGGAUCCGCGCUGCAUUAGCUAGUUGGUAAGGUAACGGCUUACCAAGGCAACGAUGCAUAGCCGACCUGAGAGGGUGAUCGGCCACACUGGAACUGAGACACGGUCCAGACUCCUACGGGAGGCAGCAGUAGGGAAUCUUCCGCAAUGGGCGAAAGCCUGACGGAGCAACGCCGCGUGAGUGAUGAAGGUCUUCGGAUCGUAAAACUCUGUUAUUAGGGAAGAACAUAUGUGUAAGUAACUGUGCACAUCUUGACGGUACCUAAUCAGAAAGCCACGGCUAACUACGUGCCAGCAGCCGCGGUAAUACGUAGGUGGCAAGCGUUAUCCGGAAUUAUUGGGCGUAAAGCGCGCGUAGGCGGUUUUUUAAGUCUGAUGUGAAAGCCCACGGCUCAACCGUGGAGGGUCAUUGGAAACUGGAAAACUUGAGUGCAGAAGAGGAAAGUGGAAUUCCAUGUGUAGCGGUGAAAUGCGCAGAGAUAUGGAGGAACACCAGUGGCGAAGGCGACUUUCUGGUCUGUAACUGACGCUGAUGUGCGAAAGCGUGGGGAUCAAACAGGAUUAGAUACCCUGGUAGUCCACGCCGUAAACGAUGAGUGCUAAGUGUUAGGGGGUUUCCGCCCCUUAGUGCUGCAGCUAACGCAUUAAGCACUCCGCCUGGGGAGUACGACCGCAAGGUUGAAACUCAAAGGAAUUGACGGGGACCCGCACAAGCGGUGGAGCAUGUGGUUUAAUUCGAAGCAACGCGAAGAACCUUACCAAAUCUUGACAUCCUUUGACAACUCUAGAGAUAGAGCCUUCCCCUUCGGGGGACAAAGUGACAGGUGGUGCAUGGUUGUCGUCAGCUCGUGUCGUGAGAUGUUGGGUUAAGUCCCGCAACGAGCGCAACCCUUAAGCUUAGUUGCCAUCAUUAAGUUGGGCACUCUAAGUUGACUGCCGGUGACAAACCGGAGGAAGGUGGGGAUGACGUCAAAUCAUCAUGCCCCUUAUGAUUUGGGCUACACACGUGCUACAAUGGACAAUACAAAGGGCAGCGAAACCGCGAGGUCAAGCAAAUCCCAUAAAGUUGUUCUCAGUUCGGAUUGUAGUCUGCAACUCGACUACAUGAAGCUGGAAUCGCUAGUAAUCGUAGAUCAGCAUGCUACGGUGAAUACGUUCCCGGGUCUUGUACACACCGCCCGUCACACCACGAGAGUU